rnacentral:rRNA from 1 species
AGCGAACGCUGGCGGCGUGCUUAACACAUGCAAGUCGAGUGCGCGUCUGUAGCAAUACAGAUGGCGCACGGCGCACGGGUGCGUAACACGUGGGUAAUCUGCCCUUCGAUGGGGAAUAACCUCGCGAAAGCGAGGCUAAUUCCGCAUAACAUUCCGAUGAUUUAGGUUGUUGGAUUCAAAGCCGUAAGGCGUCGGAGGAGGAGCCCGCGCACGAUUAGCAGUUGGUGAGGUAACGGCUCACC